AUUGAACGCUGGCGGCAUGCCUUACACAUGCAAGUCGAACGGUAACAGGUCUUCGGAUGCUGACGAGUGGCGAACGGGGGAGUAAUACAUCGGAACGUGCCCGAUCGUGGGGGAUAACGAAGCGAAAGCUUUGCUAAUACCGCAUAAGAUCUACGGAUGAAAGCAGGGGACCGCAAGGCCUUGCGCGAACGGAGCGGCCGAUGGCAGAUUAGGUAGUUGGUGGGAUAAAAGCUUACCAAGCCGACGAUCUGUAGCUGGUCUGAGAGGACGACCAGCCACACUGGGACUGAGACACGGCCCAGACUCCUACGGGAGGCAGCAGUGGGGAAUUUUGGACAAUGGGCGAAAGCCUGAUCCAGCCAUGCCGCGUGCAGGAUGAAGGCCUUCGGGUUGUAAACUGCUUUUGUACGGAACGAAAAGACUCUUUCUAAUAAAGAGGGUCCAUGACGGUACCGUAAGAAUAAGCACCGGCUAACUACGUGCCAGCAGCCGCCGCCG
rnacentral:rRNA from 1 species